rnacentral:rRNA from 1 species
GACGAACGCUGGCGGCGUGCUUAACACAUGCAAGUCGAACGCUGAAGCUUGGUGCUUGCUCUGGGUGGAUGAGUGGCGAACGGGUGAGUAAUACGUGAGUAACCUGCCUUUGACUCUGGGAUAAGCCUGGGAAACUGGGUCCAAUACUGGAUACGAUAUGUCACCGCAUGGUGGUGUGUGGAAAGGGUUUUAUUGGUUUUGGAUGGGCUCACGGCCUAUCAGCUUGUUGGGGGGGUAAUGGCUCACCAAGGCGACGACGGGUAGCCGGCCUGAGAGGGUGACCGGCCACACUGGGACUGAGACACGGCCCAGACUCCUACGGGAGGCAGCAGUGGGGAAUAUUGCACAAUGGGCGGAAGCCUGAUGCAGCGACGCCGCGUGAGGGAUGACGGCCUUCGGGUUGUAAACCUCUUUCAGCACGGAAGAAGCGAAAGUGACGGUACGUGCAGAAGAAGCGCCGGCUAACUACGUG